UCAAGGGGAAUCAACUCGCAUUUCUUGAUUAUGGAGUUAGACAGGUCUGAUCCAGCUAAAAGAAUUUGGGAUUGAUGCGUAGUGAUUUUUGCUUAAGAUUUAUUUACUAUUUCCAGAUAGGAUGUGAUAAUUAUCUUGUGUUCCAAUUGCUUGUCUUCUAUAUCUGAUUGCUUUCUUAUUUUUCAUGUCGUUGUCCUUGUAGUUACAUGCUCUAGCUUUGCAUCUUCUACUUUGUGAAGGUAAUUACUCUUUUAGUGGUUUCAUGGUGUCAAAACAUUCAAUUUUCACAUUUAAAGUAUCAUUGUGCUACAUUUUCUGACGAAUGAUUUUACCCAUUUAGUGUAUCCUCUGCUACUAGAUGCAUGAAACAUAAAAUAUGUGAGUUCUAGUUGUUUGUUAUUGAUGUUAUUAGCAAAUAAUGAAAUAUAUUAGUAUUUUUAUACUAUAUGGUUACAAAGAGAACUUAAUAUUUUCCAAAAGGUUUCAUGCCUGAUCACUACCAUGUUGCUAGCUCUUAACUGAUACAUCCCUACUAUGUCUGUUGGAUUAUUGCACUAUAUGGUGAUAGAAGUUUCAUUUCUCUGUCCGAAGGAUAUAGGUUUUUGUAGUACUUUGAUCUUUUAUAGACUCAUAUCUUCUUAUUCUUAGGCAAAAAAUCUAUGAGCCCAAAUUAGUUUAUACACAAAUGUUUUAUCUAUUUUUAAUAGAAUUUCUUAUACUCAUCAGCUAUGACGACAAUUCACUUAAUAGAGUUGGAAUUUCCAGUGCCCAAGUAACAAUGUCGAGAAAGAGAUAUUCAUCGUAUUUAUAAGUUGAAGAGGUUGGAAACGUGCUGCCUUAAUGAUGUGUGGUGAGUCAUUUGGCGUAGAGCUUUGUCUAGUAAAGUCUGUUGGCCGUAUUAAAAUAAUACUCAUUGUAAAGAAAAUGAUUCUAAGUAACAUCAGAAAUUUGAAGUGGUAAGGAAAAAAGUUGUAGGUAAGUGCAAAGGUUUCCUUUAGUUUUCAAGACAGUCACUAGUUUAUUAAGUUCCAAAUAAAUGAUUGAAGAGCCAAAACAUUUAAAGAAGUGAAAUAUGAGGCUUACAAUUUGUUGAGAAGUGAAUGUUGAAGCUCACAUAUUUCACUUUUCAAAUCUCCGCUCUCCAAUCUUUUAUUUGGAGAUUAAUAUGCCCACAAAUGUCUUUAGAGCUAAGGGUAAACCUUUGCACUUUUCUGCAAUUCUUUUUCCAACCUCUUCAAGUUCCGAAAGUUUCUUAGAAUCCAUGUUUUCAAAUGCGCCUCUUUUGUAUAAAGGCCAACAACUUCACUGUACAGAGUUCCCACACUAAUUGGCUACUAGACAUCAUCAAAACAACACUUUUCUUAUGCGAAUUGGCUCUAUUUGACACGUUAACUACAAUGACAACCUCAUGGAAGAGUGCUGAGAUUCCAAAUUUUUAAGCAGACUUCAUCGAGAAAGAGGCAAGUUGAAACUGCUGAGUUAUGUGCUCCUGACUAACUUUCUUGACUUUUGGGGUUCCUCCACCCAUGCUUUUUAUUGUCAUUCUCCAUUACUCAAUCCUUCCUUUUCCCAAUCUCACUCCAGAAAAUUUGUAAAGUCAAUUUCCUUCUCUGCCUGGCAAGAUUUCAUAGUUUGUGCAGAAAAUUCUCAUCUCCUGUAACGUCUAAGUUUGGGUUUACUAAGAAGUUUGGGUAAGCAGUAGCUGUGGUUAAAAUCUGCUUACCUUCUACUUUGUAAAGUUACAGAAGUUAUAGUUGAUUAUUUUGAUGUAUGCUUCUCUAAAAUUUAUAGGGUGAUAAGUGAAGUUUUGAUACUGUGAAUGUUGGAUGACAUGCUUUUCAAAGAUGGGAAGCGUUUUAGAUUUAUGGCAGGGAUUUGCAUUAUCACUACGCAUCACGGUUCUGGAGGUAAUGUAGUCCGUGGCUCUCCUAUAUUUCUUUGAUACUUCAAAUUCAAAUGUAUAAUGUUGUUCCUUUUUAUUUUCAUAUGUGGAAACUACUACUUGUGAAAUCACAAUGAAAGGUCAUAACAAGUGAAAAUUGAUUUUCUAUUUAUCAUAGAAUAGUUUUUGAAGGCGUUGCAAUAAAUUCUCUCUCACUUGUGGGAUUUCACUGGGUUUGUUGUUGUUGUAGAUAGAUUACAAUUCUCAUCGUUUAGUGUUUUCACAGAAGAUGAGUGGAUGCUGAACUUUACUUUUAUUGUUUACCCCCCGUAAUAUUCUAUUGUACAAAAUUGUUAUGUUUAUACUGAAUUUAGUAGUGGAAGGAUAGACUGCUGAGACAAAGGCAUUUUGCUUGAAUACUGCACAAACAUAUCUACCAUGAGUAUGCUAGCCCAAGAGAAGGUCAACUGGUUUUGGAAGGUAUUGCAGAUCUUUCUAAUUUAAUCUACUGUGUUUUUUGUUCCUUUCAUAAGCCACAGCCUCUCUAAUGUGCUUUUGCAUAUAUCUAGGUAGAUACUUAUCAUAAUGUUCUGUUCUUUCUUUAAUCAAUUGAAUUGGACCUUAGUCUCUUUAUCUAUACGAUACGGACUAGAUUUUAGAUCGGGGUAUCACCAAUUGAAGAUCAGGGAGCAGGAUAUUUCGAAAAUAGCUUUCGGGACCCUGUAGGGGCACUUUGAGUUUCUGGUGUAGCCCUCCAGUUGUGGCCCCUGUGAAGAGUUGCAGAAUGAUGUAAGAUCAACGGAGCUUCUUAGAAUUAAAGAAUGAAUGAGAUAAAGCCUCUUCAUAGCAAAAUCUUGAAAAUUAUGUAUGUGGAGCUUGGUUCUUUGAAGAGACACAGGCAACCGCGCCUUCAAAAGGCAUGAACCAUCUUCUAGUACAACCUCGAACAUUUAAAGCUUGAAGAUAGAUAGUGUAUGUAAUAGCUUGAAAAUAAUGUAUUGUUAACCCUGAUUAGUCCCAAAACUUGGUCCUCUCUAAUAGUAGAUUGAUGAUUGUCUUGUUCCUCAGAUGUUACAGUGAACUUUUAACGAUUGAAUAUCUGAAUGUGCAUGCUUAUUGUAUAUCCCAGAACUGUUGACGCUUUUACUGACCAUUUCAAUCCAAGUCUCUUGCUCCUUAGCUAGCUAGAUUGUGCUACAUUUUGCAGAUAAUUGAGAUACCAAACCGAACCAAAUUCAAUGGACAUGUAUUUAUUCGCUUUUAAGUAUUGUGAUUUCAAGUGUUUCCAGUGAUUUAUAUUAGAAAGUGUACUUGAGAGA
rnacentral:lncRNA from 1 species